rnacentral:rRNA from 1 species
UACAGAGGUCCCAAGCGUUGUUCGGAUUCACUGGGCGUAAAGGGUGCGCAGGUGGGCUGGUAAGUUCGAUGUGAAAGCCCCGGGCUUAACCCGGGAAAGGCAUUGGAUACUACUGGUCUGGAGGAUUGGAGGGGGGACUGGAAUUCUUGGUGUAGCAGUGAAAUGCGUAGAUAUCAAGAGGAACACCAGUGGCGAAGGCGAGUCCCUGGACAAUACCUGACACUGAGGCACGAAGGCCAGGGGAGCAAACGGG